UACGGAAUGUGCAAACGUUAUUCGGAAUCACUGGGCUUAAAGAGUCCGUAGGCGGCUUGUUAGGUGAGGUGUGAAAUCCUCCGGCCUAACCGGAGAACGGCUUUUGAUACUGGUGGUCUCGAGGGGGGUAGGGGCAUGCGGAACUUCCGGUGGAGCGGUGAAAUGCGUAGAUAUCGGAAGGAACGCCGGUGGCGAAAGCGGCGUGCUGGACCCCUUCUGACGCUGAGGCGCGAAAGCCAGGGGAGCAAACGGG
rnacentral:rRNA from 1 species